AAUCAACGCUGGAGGCGUGCCUCAGACAUGCAAGUCGUACGAUUAAAGCUCUCUUCGGAGAGUGUAUAGAGUGGCGCACGGGUGAGUAACACGUAAGUAAUCUACCUUCGAGUGGGGAAUAACAGUCGGAAACGACUGCUAAUACCGCAUAAUGCAGCGGCACCUAAUGGUGACAGUUGUUAAAGCAUUUAUGUGCUUGAAGAGGAGCUUGCGGCAGAUUAGCUAGUUGGUAAGGCAAUGGCUUACCAAGGCGACGAUCUGUAGCCGACCUGAGGAGGGUGGUCGGUCACACUGACACUGAAUAACGGGUCAGACUCCUACGGGAGGCAGCAGUCGGGUAAUUUUGGGCAAUGGGACGAAAGCCUCGACCAGCAACGCCGCGUGAAGGAUGAAGGUCUC
rnacentral:rRNA from 1 species